rnacentral:rRNA from 1 species
ACCUACGGGGCGCAGCAGUGAGGAAUAUUGGUCAAUGGCCGAAGGGCUGAACCAGCCAAGCCGCGUGAAGGAAUAAGGCCCUGCGGGUCGUAAACUUCUUUAGUCAGGGAACAAAGGGAGCCACGCGUGGCGCUGUGAGUGUACCUGAAGAAUAAGCAUCGGCUAACUCCGUGCCAGCAGCCGCGGUAAUACGGGGGAUGCGAGCGUUAUCCGGAUUUAUUGGGUUUAAAGGGUGCGUAGGCGGACUGUUAAGUCAGCGGUAAAAGCCCGGGGCUCAACCCCGGCGCGCCGUUGAAACUGGCUGU